rnacentral:sRNA from 1 species
AUGCACCGUGCGCCCACUCCGGUGCCAAGCGCGUCGUCCACGCCCAGCCGAUCACUGCGUGCGACGUUCUGUUAGCC